rnacentral:rRNA from 1 species
CAGCCGCCGCGGUAAAACGUAGGGCGCAAGCGUUGUCCGGAAUUAUUGGGCGUAAAGAGCUCGUAGGCGGUCUGUCGCGUCUGGUGUGAAAUCCCGAGGCUCAACCUCGGGCUUGCAUCGGGUACGGGCAGACUAGAGUGCGGUAGGGGAGACUGGAAUUCCUGGUGUAGCGGUGGAAUGCGCAGAUAUCAGGAGGAACACCGAUGGCGAAGGCAGGUCUCUGGGCCGCAACUGACGCUGAGGAGCGAAAGCAUGGGGAGCGAACAGGAUUAGAUACCCCUGUAGUCCCUGUCUCUUAUAA